UGGAAUGAUCUAUCUCUCAAACUCGCGCUUAAGGAUGGGGCUGCGGCGGAUUAGGUCNUUGGCGGGGUAACAGCCCACCAAGCCAAUGAUCCGUAAGGGCUCUUAGCGGAGAGGCCCUGAGAGGGAAUCUGAGACACUAUUCCCAGCCCUACGGGGUGCAGCAGUUAGGAAUAUUCUGCAAUGCGCGCAAGCGUGACAGAUUGAGUCAGAGUGUUUUUCAUUUGAAAAGCUUUUGCCAAAUGCAAAAAGUUUGGCGAAUAAGGACUGGGUAAGACGGGUGCCAGCCGCCGCGGUAAUACCCGCGGUCCAAGUCGCAGCCAUCAUUAUUGGGUAUAAAACAUCCGUAGCUUGCUUGAUAAGUUUCUUGUGAAAUUCUAUAUCUCAAAUAUGGAGCGCGCAAGAAGUACUGCCAAGCUAGAGACUGGAAGACGUAAGAAGUAUGUUUGGAGUAGCGGUAAAAUGUGUUAAUCCCAGACAGACUAACAACAGCGAAGGCAUCUUACGAGGGACAGUUUUGACNGUAAGGGAUGAAGGCUAGGGNCGCAAAACGGAUUAAAUACCCGUGUAGUCCUAGCAGUAAACACUGCACACUAAACAUUAGUACCUCCUCGAGAGGUGUUAGUGCUGAAGAAAAGUCCAAGAGUGUGCUAC
rnacentral:rRNA from 1 species